rnacentral:tRNA from 1 species
GGCCCGGUGGUGUAACGGUUAGCACGCGAGGUUUUCAACCUCGUAGCGCGGGUUCGAUUCCCGUCCGGGCUA